AAUUCUCAAUCUACAACUUGUUGUGGCUUGGAUAGUUGGGUGUUGCCAGCUUUUUAUUACAAAGUAGGCUCUCCUUAAAUGUAUAAGUGGUAUUUUAGAAACUUGUUAGGUGUUGUAAAUUAUCAAUACAUCUAUGUUUCUGAAAUAUACUGCUUCUAACAAAACCCCCCUUUUGAUGAUU
rnacentral:misc_RNA from 1 species